rnacentral:rRNA from 1 species
ACAGCUCAAAUUUGAAUCUGGCUCCUUCGGGGUCCGAGUUGUAAUUUGUAGAGGGUGUUUCGGGUGCGAUGCCGGUCUAAGUUCCUUGGAACAGGACGUCGUAGAGGGUGAGAAUCCCGUAUGCGACCGGCGAUCAAGCCCGUGCGAAGCCCCUUCGACGAGUCGAGUUGUUUGGGAAUGCAGCUCAAAAUGGGUGGUAAAUUUCAUCUAAAGCUAAAUACUGGCCAGAGACCGAUAGCGGACAAGUAGAGUGAUCGAAAGAUGAAAAGCACUUUGGAAAGAGAGUCAAACAGUACGUGAAAUUGUUGAAAGGGAAGCGCUUGCAAUCAGACCGGUCCGGAGGCGAUCAGCCGCUGCUCGUCAGCGGUGCACUCGCCUGCGAUCCGGCCAGCAUCGGUUUGGGCGGCGGGAUAAAAGUCCCGGGAAUGUAGCUUCCUCCGGGGAGUCUUAUAGCCCGGGUCGCAAUGCCGCCCGCCCGGACCGAGGACCGCGCUUCGGCUAGGAUGCUGGCGUAAUGGUUGCAAGCG